UCUAGUCUGCUUUAAACCAAAGAAGAAGAAGAACUGGUGUCACUGGUUAGUUGUACCAGCUGAGGAAGUUGUUACAUUAUUAUUUUAGUAAAGUUUUAAUAGGAGAAAUGGGUUGUUAACUCUGGGAUUUAUAAACUCUACACAGAGAGUAUAGCGGACCCAAACAGAAGGAAUACCAUGACAGCUAACGAGGAUCAAGAGAUGGAGUUGGAGGCUCUUCGCUCUAUCUAUGAGGGGGAUGAGUGUUUCAAGGAAAUCAGUUUAGUUUCCUUUCAGUUUAGGAUAGGAGACAUUGAUGACAGCAAAGCAUUCAUGCUGGACGUCACAUGGCCUGAGACGUACCCUGAGACGGCCCCACAAAUGUCCCUUGAUGCCUUUUUCAACAACAGAUUCUCUGCGGAGACAAAGCAGCUGAUUCUUAUGAAGCUGGAGGAGCAGGUGGAGGCUAACCUGGGCACUGCAAUGAUGUAUACUCUGUUCGAGUGGGCCAAGGAGAACAAGGAGGCCCUCAUGGAGAACCACAAGCCUGUAGCCACUGCUGUGACAUCCAGCAGUGAAGGGAUCACCAGCUCAACAGCCAAGAAGAAGGAGAAGAAGGAGCAGCUGACUAAAUCUCAGAAGAGGAGGAUUGUCAACAAAACAGAUCACAAAGGGGAACUGCCAAGAGGUUGGAACUGGGUUGAUGUCAUCAAAGUAGGUGCAUUUUAUCUUCUGGCCACAAGGUGGUGCACUUAUUCAGCUUUAAACCUGCAGGGACAUUGAUCAUGAACCUGUCCAUAUUUGUUUUUUUUCCUCCCCUCUAUUGUCACUCCUGCUUGACGGUCCAGCAUUUAAGUAAAACAGGAGGAAAAGAUGACGAUUUGGCCUGAGCGCAGUGAUCUGGUGCUGCUUUGCACAACAAAGUGCAUUGAAGUAUGAACUCACCUGUAGUAGCCUGUUGAUGCUGCUAAUGCUGCUGUCCAGAUACAGUCACAUCCUCCAUCUUUAACAUUUACUCAACAUGGCUGCUUUCAGACUGAGAACCAAAGCAGGCUGGGAAUAGUGGACCUCAGGACACACACACACACACACACACACACACACACACACACACACACACACACACACACACACACACACACACACACACACACACACACACACACACACACACACACACACACUUCCAGCUAAAGUCAGACUUUGAGCUGUUAACUAUUUGAAGCCCUUGCUGUGUUUUUAUGUGUUUGUGUGCAAUCAGGUGAAGAGGAACACAUCAACUUUUGCUCCUACAUUCUGCUCAGUCAUCCAUCAGCGUGGAGUGUGCUUGAGAUACUUGCUGUCACUGCCAUGUUUUCAGUCUGUGAUUAGGCCCAGCCGCCCGGCACUGGAGCUACAAAUGUUGGAUAGUGGUUCUAAAUGGAUGUGUCAAAGUGUACAUUUUUGAAAACCCAAAAUGUCACCAGACUGUUUUUUUUCCUCUAUAAAUUGAUUUCUUUUUAAUAAAUAAUCCACAUUUGGUCUACUGCUUGUCUAAAAAUAUAAUUUACCAUUGAGUUGAAUUGUGUGAGUUUUAAGAGUAAAAGAAGUGAAUUACCCCAAGAAGUCGGUUUAAAUUGUGAAGUGUUAAGUAACAAAAUUGUGCCAGAGUUACAAAGGAAGUGAAGGGAUGUUUGCCUUCAAAAUAAAACCAAAUCUGAUAAUUGCUGUUCCUA